AUUGAACGCUAGCGGCAGGCUUUACACAUGCAAGUCGAACGAGUGGCGGACGGGUGAGUAAUAUAUCGGAACGUGCCCAGUAGAGGGGGAUAACUACUCGAAAGGGUGGCUAAUACCGCAUACUAUUGGAUCGGCCGAUAUGGGAUUAGCUAGUUGGUGGGGUAAAGGCUCACCAAGGCAACGAUCCGUAGCUGGUUUGAGAGGAUGACCAGCCACACUGGGACUGAGACACGGCCCAGACUCCUACGGGAGGCAGCAGUGGGGAAUAUUGCACAAUGGGGGCAACCCUGAUCCAGCCAUCCCGCGUGUAUGAGAAGGCCUUAUGGUUGUAAAGUACUUUUGGCAGAGAGGCGGUACCCGCAGAAGAAGCACCGGCUAACUACGUGCCAGCAGCCGCGGUAAUUC
rnacentral:rRNA from 1 species